rnacentral:lncRNA from 1 species
AUCAGCUCUUUCUUCUUCUGGUUCUGAAUUGGGUUCUGUGACCCUGUCACUCUAAUGCCCAAUCCCCCUUCCAAGGGGUGGCCUGUGCCUAGCAGGAUGCAUAGAGCAUUAGCACUGGCGUUGGAUGGCAGUGAGAAAAUCUACAGCACACAAACAAAAGCUGAAUGAGGUGAUGAGGAUCCCACCAAGGGAGCAGAAUUCUGUCCAAUUUGGAGUCAAAAUGCAUGUAAUGGCACCUGGGUGGCUCAGUUCGCUCAGGUCAUGAUCUCAGGGUCCUGGGAUGGAGUCCCAGAUCCGGCUCCCUGCUCAUCAGGGAGCCUGCUUCUCCUCCCCCUGCCCCUCCCCUGGCUUGUGCUCUCUCACACACACUCUUUCAAAUAAAUAAAUAAAAUCUUAAAAAAAACUAAAACUAAAACAAAAACACACGUAAAAGCCAGAAAGCCAGAAGUCAGGCAUCACGAGCUGUGACUAGAUAGACAAGGAGAGGGCAGCCAAAGCAGAGACCAGUGAGCUUUGUAGCACCUCUUUUGAGGGGAAUGGGGGCUGGGGCUCAGCCCAGGUGGAUGGCUCAGAGUCUGAGGACACCCACACAGGCCUCCCCAGCUUCCCUCGGCUCACUGGUAUCCAGACAAAAAGGGAACAAAGCAGUGGGCAAACAGAGGUUCCUGUUUCCCGCUUCAUUAAAACUGUGUGAGUGCCUUUUCACUCCCAGAAUCCCUGUCACAUUCUCGGCUCAGGCUGUGUCCAGGGCCCAGCCCCUGGCCCUCGGCCAACUUGCAAGAUUCCGUUUCAGUUUGGAGGUUGAAAUCUGCCAUGUGGUGACAUUUGAGUCCAAUGGCUUAGGAGCACCGUUGUCCAGAAUGCACCACGUCUGCAUUUUGUACAAGUGCCCCCUCUUCGCAAGGUGCAGCCUCUGUGUUCAUCGAGAGAGGCUAAACACACGAGAAUCUUCAAGCCAGAAAUUGCCUGACUUCUCCCCGGAGAGCAUCUGCCUGGGGAGGGCAGGAUAG